UACAACCGGUGAUACAAAAUCUCGCCAAUUUUUUUAAAAAAAGUUAUAAAAAAAUGACAUCAGCUAUCGCCUAGACCUACCGUGACUCUAAACUUAAAAAAGGAAAUUAACUGUUUAAAAAUGAUACGGUGUGCGUAUGAAGUGCUCAUGCCCAGUCGAGGUAGCUGUAUCCCUUAUACCCAUAACCCUCAAAUUUGGAGAUAAGUCGGUGAGUCCGCCAUAUUAGGCAGGGCGACACGGCAUUUUAAACACAUACCUUUGGUUAUUCGGAAUAAAAAAACGAUAACCUUUACAUUUCUCACCCAAUGCCCACUGGUUUAUAAUUAAAGUAAAGUAUUCCGUUAUGUAUCAUCUCCACAGUGAGACAUUAUUCAAGGACAUGUGAAAAUUAAAUAAGAUGUUGAAGAUCCAGUCGGCCUCGAGGAUAGUGAAAUCACAUCAGAGAUGCCAGUUCACCCAUCAUCAUCUGUCAAUAACCAGGCCUGAUAUACUGAGUCUCCGACCCAAUAAUUCGCAGAUUUUUCUAUGCAUUUGGCUAUAUUUAAAGGAAAAAGUGAUUUUACAUAGACCACACCGUGCAAGACCGCGCCCCCAUCUAUGACACGACACCGACCAAGUCUACUUGAGAAAGAAGUGAAGAUAUUCAAAACCGAAAGUAGAGACGUUGCCUUUCCAACUGUCGUCAAACAAAACGAUCUGAGCUCAGUUUCACAUGAUGGAGAAUAGAGAGAGCGUUGAUUCUGAAAUAAAACAUUCAGAGAGAGAGACUCAGAAAACACCCCCAUCAUCUCCAGAACCCAGUGAUGUGUCUCAGAAGAAUGUCUUCACGGAUCUCAGUGAUGAAUCAGUAUCAUCUGAACCUCUAUCAGAUAGUCAGAGAGGAGCAUCUCCAGAACCCAGUGUUGUGUCUAUGAAGAGUGACACCUCCAUACAUCAUCCAACUACACGUGGUCAUGGAUCAGUAUCAUCUGACUCUCUAUCAAACAUUGAAUGUAAAGAUGACGUGAGUGCAGACAUGCAGCAGGAUUCUCAUCAUGAAUCAGUGGAUGAUGUUCUGCAGAGAGUCAAAGACAAACACAAAAGCAUCAUGAAGAACAAGUAUGAGAGUUUAUUUGAGGGAAUCAAACAACAAGAGAAUCAAACCCUCCUGAAGAGAAUUUACACACAGCUGUACAUCAUAGAGGGAGAGAGAGAAGGAGUGAAUGAAGAACAUGAGGUUUUACACAUGGAGAGAAAGCCCAGAAGAACACAAGAGCUACAAGACACUCCGAUCUACUGCAAUGACAUCUUUAAACCUCAAUCACAUCAAAGACACAAAAUCAAGAUUGUUCUUACUAAAGGCAUCGCUGGAAUUGGAAAAACCGUCUCUGUGCAGAAGGUCAUUCUGGAUUGGGCCGAAGGAACAGCCAAUCAGGACGUAGAUUUCAUGUUCCUGCUUCCGUUUCGAGAGCUGAACUUGAUUCGAGAGCAUCGCUACAGUCUUCACCAACUUCUGCUGGACUUUCAUCCUGAACUUCAAGAUGUGGACUCACAGGUUUAUGAGGAGUGUAAAGUUGUGUUCAUCUUUGAUGGUCUGGAUGAAAGCAGAAUGACUCUGAUGUUUUCAGACCAGAGUGAGAAAGUUUCUGAUGUGACUGUCGCUUCAUCAGUCGCUGUGUUGAUGUCAAACCUCAUGAAAGGAGAUCUGCUUCCCUCCGCUCUCAUCUGGAUCACCUCCAGACCAGCAGCAGCCCAUCAGAUCCCUUCCAAAUACAUCUCUCGUGUGACAGAAAUCCAGGGAUUCAACAACGCUCAGAAGGAGGAAUAUUUCAGGAAGAGAAUCAGCGACGAGCAUCAAGCCAGCAGAAUCAUGUCACAUAUUAAAAGAGCGAGAAGCCUCCACAUCAUGUGUCACAUACCGGUCUUCUGUUGGAUCUCAUCCACUGUGCUUCAGAAGAUCCUGACACAAGAUCACAGUGAAGAAAUCCCCAAAACUCUGAGUGAAAUGUACAUCCACUUCCUGCUGAUUCAGAUGAAGAUGAAGAAUGAGAAGUAUGAUCAAGAGAGAGAUUCAGAGAAAGAAGUGAUUGUGAAACUGGCUGAAGUGGCUUUCAAACAGCUGAUGAAGGGCAAUGUGAUGUUCUAUAAGGAGGAUCUGAGAGAGUGUGGGAUAGACAUCAAUGACGCCGCGCUGUAUUCUGGCAUCUGUACUGAGAUCUUUAAAGAGGAAUCUGUCUUUCAUCAGAGGAAAAUCUACAGCUUCAUACAUCUCAGCUUUCAGGAGUUUCUCGCUGCGCUCUAUGUAUUGUACUGCCAUUUAAUGAAGAAGAACACUGAAUCACUGAGGUUACUUCUGAAUGAGAAAUAUGACUAUUAUAUCAGCAGGUCUGAAGAAAUAUCUCUGUAUUGGCUACUAAGAUUAGCAGUAGAUAAAGCUGUUGAGAGUGAAACUGGUCAUUUUGAUCUUUUCUUGAGAUUUCUGCUGGGCAUCUCACUGGAGUCCAAUCAGAGACUCUUACAGGAUCUACUGACACACACUCACAACAGCCCAGGGAACAUCAGCAAAAUCACAGACUACAUUAAAUAUAAAAUCAAGAACAAUGAUGAUAAAUAUCUCUCAUCUGAAAGAUCCAUCAAUCUGUUUCUGUGUCUGUCUGAAUUGAAUGAUCAGACUCUGAACAGAGAGAUUGAGGAGUUUGUGAGAUCAUACAAACACUCAGAUGAGAAACUAUCUGACGCUCACUGUUCAACAAUAGCCUACAUGCUUCAGAUGUCGGAGGAGGUGAUGGAUGAGUUUGAUCUGAAGAAAUACAACACAUCACAGGAGGGCAGAAGAAGACUCAUACCAGCUGUCAUCAACUGCACAAGGGCUCUAUUGUCGAGAUGUAAUCUGACUGAUGACUGUUGUGAGAGUUUGUCUUCAUGUCUACAAUCAUCAAAGUGUCCUCUGAGAGAGCUGGACCUGAGUAUCAAUGAUCUGAAGGAUUCAGGAGUGAAGCUGAUCUCUGAUGCUCUCAAAACUGAAAACUGUCAACUACAAACACUGAGAUUGUCCGGGUGUAAUGUGACUGAAGAGUGUUGUGAGAGUUUGUCUUCAUGUCUACAAUCUUCAAAGUCUCUGAGAGAGCUGGACCUGAGUAACAAUGAUCUGAAGGAUUCAGGAGUGAAGCUGAUCUCUGAUGCUCUCAAGACUCAAAACUCUCAACUACACACACUGAGAUUGUCCGGGUGUAAUCUGACUGGCGAGUGUUGUGAAAGUUUGUCUUCAUGUCUACAAUCGUCAAAGUCUCUGAGAGAGCUGGACCUGAGUAACAAUGAUCUGAAGGAUUCAGGAGUGAAGCUGAUCUCUGAUGCUCUCAAGACUCACAACUGUCAACUAGAGAUACUGAGGUUAUCAGGUUGUAUGGUGACAGUUGAAGGUUGUUGUUCUUUGGCUUCAGCUCUGAGUUCAAACCCGUCACACCUGAGAGAGCUGGAUCUGAGCUACAAUCACCCACAACACUCAACACUUCAGCUGCUCGCCUAUCAAAAUGAUCCAAACUACACACUCAACAAACUCAAUGUGAGUCAUGGAGGAGAGAGAAGAAUUACAGCAGGACUACACAAGUAUGUCUGUGAUCUCACACUGGAUCCAAACACAGCAAACACUAAACUCAUACUGUCUGAAGAGAACAGAAAGAUCACAGGUGUGAGAAAGCGUCAGUCGUAUCCUGAUCAUCCAGACAGAUUUGAUCGUCCUCAGGUUUUGUGUAGAGAGAGUCUGACUGGACGCUGUUACUGGGAGGCUGAAUGGAGUGGAUCAGCUAUUUAUAUAUCAGUUUCAUAUAAAAGCAUCAACAGGAAAGGGACGAGUGAUGACAAUAACAAUAUGUUUGGAUUCAAUGUAAAUUCAUGGAGUCUGAGCUGCUCUGAUGAUAAUUUCACUGCUUUGCACAAUAAGAAUAGAGCUGUCAUUGAAGUCUCUUCAGGUGUGUGUAAGAGAGUAGGAGUGUAUGUGGACUGGUCGGCCGGCACUCUGUCCUUCUACAGCGUCUCUGACACACACACACUUACACACUUACACACAUUCUACACAACAUUCACUGAGCCUCUCUGUGCUGGAUUUCAUGUGUUUUCUAACUCCUCAGUGUCUCUGUGUGACAUAAACAGCCUCUAUAAAGAACCUCCUGUUAAAAUGAAGAGAGAAUCACACAAAACCAGAUUCUCCAAAGCUAAUGAUCAGAAUAUUCACCCACUGCUGAACUGUCAGUCUUGCAUCAGUAUAGUAGAUUCUGAUCAGUGGGUUCAAACGGAGCCGUCGAUCUGUACAGAUGAAGACAUGUCAAAGUUCAGGGUCAGCACUGAGCCAGGCCGCUACGAGUGUAUCAGGACCAGAAUGCGAUGGGUCUGUGACUGUGACGUCACCCUUCAGUAUCAUGUCGUAGACCCUCGGUCCUUCAACGCACAGCUGGAGAAUCUGCAGUGUAACCGAGUUGGUCCAGUGAUUGAUGUGACGGUGAUCUCAGGAGAACUGGAAGAAGUUCAUCUGCCCCACUGUGUCUGUUUAGGAAAUGAUGAUCCCUCUCUCAAAGAUGCUGUGAAAGCCCUCAGCAUAAAAGAUGAAGGAACAUAUGAAGAGCCCGUGCAGUUGACCCGAUAUCAUGCUAAAAUUGUCCACCCAUCAUUCUCUCUAAAAACAUUAAUUACACGUUUGAAAAGGCGAUGGAAUGAACACUGUGAUCUUCUUAUGUACAUGUCUUGUAAAGAUCCUCUCAUUCUACAUGUCUACUUUUUUCCAUUUGAUGAUCAUUUUAAAAAUGCUGUGGAGGAAAAAGAAAAAUCAAGCUAUGCAAUCGAGCAUCCCAGACCUGACAAGGCAUUACGGAUGGAAACAGCCCACUUUCUUAAAGUUCCUGGUGCCUCUGUCCAUCCCAAAGAAGGAAUCACACUCAGAAGAGACAUCAUCCCAAAUUUCUUCAAGGUCAAGACGCGUCUGGAGAAUGAUCUUGAAAUGACUCUCAUCAGAGAUGGGGAACCAAACACUGUCUGGACUGCAGUCAUUGAGAAAGAUGAACUUGAUCAGAUCAAUCCAAAGAAAGAUGAGCUGAGACUGUUUCUGAAGAGUGAUGAGGAUAAAGCAGCAUUUUUUGAUGACCACUUUUCAGAUCUCAUUCAGAGAGUUACAAAUGUUAAGAUCAUUGCCGAUCAACUGCUUCAGCAGAACAUGAUUCACCAGGAACAAUAUUCAGAAAUCACACAUGACACAUUAACCAGUGCAGACAGUAUGAGAAAGCUCUGUUCAGACAUUAAACGCAGCAACAAUGUCACUGUGAAAGCCAAAUUAAUCACAAUUCUUCAAAAUGAGAAGCUUUAUGACUUCAGCACAUUUGUCUGAUUCCACAAGAAUUUUCUACUGAUUAUACAGAGAAAAAACAAUUAUUAUUAUACAACUAAAAUAUAUGAUUGGAUAUGGCUCUUGUUCUUAAAACUACAAGCACUCAUCUCUGGGAAACCCAACUAUAUUUGGUCAACUCCGCAGUCACACCGAGUGGAUAUCUCUUCUGCGUGUCCCCAAUAUACCAGCCUGUUGCACCGGUACUUCAAUAUAGUGCCUUAGAACUUCUUACGUUUUGUUUCCAGUCUCUAAAGUACUGUGACAUUUUUAAGCUUUGUCGAAAAUACAGUCACCGUGGGUCAAUACAGAAUAACAGUUUUGAUUAUUCUAAUGCCAUAAUAUGUUUCUGGUUCACGUCUUUUUCAAAGUAAAAACCAAGACAUGAGGUCAAAAUAACUGCCAGUAGAGCCAUGUACUGCCAGUAGAGGCAUGUAGCCUCCAUAAGGCCAGCCAUUGAUGGAGAAGAGUCUUUGAUUGAGCGGUCACCAAGAAGUUGAUGAUCAAUCUGGUUGAGCUCCAUGAUCAUAUAUGUAGAAACUUACAGAAGGACCUACAUCACUACAACACUGCACCAAUCUGGGCUUUAUUGCAGAGAGUUGCCAAACUCAAGCCUUUGCUCAGUGAAGACAAAUGAAAACUUGAAAUAUGCUAAAACAUACUUCAACUAAUCUUUCAAACUGUCAGAAACAAGAUUCUCUGGUUUGAGAAAUCUCAGUUUCAUGCAUCAUAUCUGGAGAAAACCAGGCUUUGAAUACCAUCUCUGAAUUGCUUAAUUUUAAUUGUUAAAUGACAUAACAGUCAUGUUAAGUGAGUUCUACAUUAACAUUUUGUGAUAGUACUGUAACGUAAUUUCUCCACUGUGUUGAAUUUCGAAUAACAAACUAGCAACUGCUAAUUGUUUGAUUAUUUGUAGAUGAGUUAAUGUUUUAUGGGUAUAAUAUAGACUAAUAUGGAGAUUAAAACAUGAAUUCCACAACUAGUGAUUUGCAUUGUUAAGGUAAUUUGGUCUUUUGUAAAUGUUUGAUUUUUAAAUAGCUUUUAAUAUUACUCCAUACUCUAUGGAUUAUGUAGACUAAUUUUCUCUUCAAUUUGCAGAAGAUAGGUUCUCAAAGAACAAGUGGAAGUACAGUAUACAUAAACUGUGAUUGUGACAAACCCAUCACCUGUCGGAGAGAGACAGUCAAGUUCCUCAACAUGUACUGCAUUUGGAGGCUUCUAAAAGUGAUUGUUUAAAAGACAUUAAUGGAUGACCUUGAAAACCCUUGUUAACAAUAUAUAUGCCUGUAACAAUUUUUUACAGCUAUUGCGUGUGACCACAAAGGAAUGUUUUGACUCUCUUUUAUUAGUUUUUGCAUGCAGAAAGAUUUUCUAUUUAUUAUGUCUUUUGCAUAAUUUCCUGUUUUAUACUUCUGUCACUACUUAUUAUAUAAAUAUAGUCACUUUUUAUGUUAAUAUGUAUUUGAUAAGCUGUGAAAGAUUUUAAGCGUGGUAUAGAAAUAUAUUUGAAAUGAAGAGAAUUGA